GACAGAGGAUGCAAGCGUUAUCCGGAAUGAUUGGGCGUAAGCGUCUGUAGGUGGCUUUUUAAGUCCGCCGUCAAAUCCCAGGGCUCAACCCUGGACAGGCGGUGGAAACUACCAAGCUGGAGUACGGUAGGGGCAGAGGGAAUUUCCGGUGGAGCGGUGAAAUGCGCAGAUAUCGGGAAGAACACCCAUGGCGAAGGCAGCUCUCUGGGACGGUACUGACGCUGAGACGCGAAAGCGUGGGGAGCGAACAGG
rnacentral:rRNA from 1 species